GUGAGUGUGUGUGUGUGUGUGUGUGUGUGUGUAUACAAGGCACACAAAUACACACACUGCAUUAUAUACACACACACUAUACAAACACACUG